AAUGAACGUUGGCGGCGUGGAUUAGGCAUGCAAGUCGUGCGGGUGUAGCAAUACACCAGCGGCGAAAGGGAGAGUAAUGCGUGGAUACCUGCCCUCGGGUUCGGGAUAGCUACGGGAAACUGUAGGUAAUACCGAAUGACAUCUCCGGAUCAAAGGUGUGAUUCCGCCCGGGGAGGGGUCCACGUCCUAUUAGCUAGUUGGCGAGGUAACGGCUCACCAAGGCUUUGAUGGGUAUGGGAUGUGAGAGCAUGAUCCCACUCACUGGGACUGAGACACUGCCCAGACACCUACGGGUGGCAG
rnacentral:rRNA from 1 species